UACGAAGGGGGCUAGCGUUGCUCGGAAUUACUGGGCGUAAAGCGCACGUAGGCGGCUCGUUAAGUCGGAGGUGAAAUCCUGGAGCUCAACUCCAGAACUGCCUUCGAUACUGAUGAGCUCGAGUUCGGGAGAGGUGAGUGGAACUGCGAGUGUAGAGGUGAAAUUCGUAGAUAUUCGCAAGAACACCAGUGGCGAAGGCGGCUCACUGGCCCGAUACUGACGCUGAGGUGCGAAAGCGUGGGGAGCCAAACAGGG
rnacentral:rRNA from 1 species